AUCGAACGCUGGCGGAAUGCUUUACACAUGCAAGUCGAACGGCAGCGCGGACUUCGGUCUGGUGGCGAGUGGCGAACGGGCGAGUAAUGUAUCGGUACGUGCGCAGUCGUGGGGGAUAACGUAGUGAAAAUUACGCUAAUACCGCAUACGAUCUAUGGAUGAAAGCGGGGGAUCGCAAGACCUCGCGCGAUUGGAGCGGCCGAUAUCAGAUUAGGUGGUUGGUGGGGUAAAGGCCCACCAAGCCAACGAUCUGUAGCUGGUCUGAGAGGACGAACAGCCACACUGGAACUGAGACACGGUCCAGACUCCUACGGGAGGCAGCAGUGGGGAAUUUUGGACAAUGGGCGAAAGCCUGAUCCAGCCAUUCCGCGUGCAGGAUGAAGGCCCUCGGGUUGUAAACUGCUUUUGUACAGAACGAAAAGGUUUCUACUAAUACUAGGAGCUCAUGACGGUACUGUAAGAAUAAGCACCGGCUAACUACGUGCCAGCCGCCGCAGUAA
rnacentral:rRNA from 1 species